AUACGGAGGAUCCGAGCGUUAUCCGGAUUUAUUGGGUUUAAAGGGUGCGCAGGCGGCCAUUUAAGUCAGCGGUUAAAUCGUGGGGCUCAACCCCAUUCUGCCGUUGAUACUGGGUGGCUUGAUUGCGGUCGAGGUUGGCGGAAUUCGUUGUGUAGCGGGGAAAUGCAUAGAUAUGACGAAGAACACCGAUUGCGUAGGCAGCUGACCAGACCGCAAAUGACGCUCAUGCACGAAAGUGCGGGGAUCGAACAGGAUUAGAUACCCUGGUAGUCCGCACAGUAAACGAUGGAUACUAGGUGUGGGUGUCGCAGGGCAUCCGUGCCGCAGCUAACGCGUUAAGUAUCCCGCCUGGGGACUACGGUCGCAAGACUGAAACUCAAAGGAAUUGGCGGGG
rnacentral:rRNA from 1 species